GGUACACGAGCGGCGAACGGGUGAGUAACACGUGAGCAACCUACCCUUCACUUCGGGAUAAGCCUCGGAAACGGGGUCUAAUACCGGAUAUCACUUGCCACUUCAUGGUGGUUGGUUGAAAGUUCUGGCGGUGGGGGAUGGGCUCGCGGCCUAUCAGCUUGUUGGUGGGGUAAUGGCCUACCAAGGCGUCGACGGGUAGCCGGCCUGAGAGGGCGACCG
rnacentral:rRNA from 1 species